rnacentral:rRNA from 1 species
AGCUUGCUCUCGGGUGACGAGUGGCGGACGGGUGAGUAAUGUCUGGGAAACUGCCUGAUGGAGGGGGAUAACUACUGGAAACGGUAGCUAAUACCGCAUAAUGUCGCAAGACCAAAGAGGGGGACCUUCGGGCCUCUUGCCAUCAGAUGUGCCCAGAUGGGAUUAGCUAGUAGGUGGGGUAACGGCUCACCUAGGCGACGAUCCCUAGCUGGUCUGAGAGGAUGACCAGCCACACUGGAACUGAGACACGGUCCAGACUCCUACGGGAGGCAGCAGUGGGGAAUAUUGCACAAUGGGCGCAAGCCUGAUGCAGCCAUGCCGCGUGUAUGAAGAAGGCCUUCGGGUUGUAAAGUACUUUCAGCGGGGAGGAAGGUGUUGUGGUUAAUAACCACAGCAAUUGACGUUACCCGCAGAAGAAGCACCGGCUAACUCCGUGCCAGCAGCCGCGGUAAUACGGAGGGUGCAAGCGUUAAUCGGAAUUACUGGGCGUAAAGCGCACGCAGGCGGUCUGUCAAGUCGGAUGUGAAAUCCCCGGGCUCAACCUGGGAACUGCAUUCGAAACUGGCAGGCUAGAGUCUUGUAGAGGGGGGUAGAAUUCCAGGUGUAGCGGUGAAAUGCGUAGAGAUCUGGAGGAAUACCGGUGGCGAAGGCGGCCCCCUGGACAAAGACUGACGCUCAGGUGCGAAAGCGUGGGGAGCAAAACAGGAUUAGAUACCCUGGUAGUCCACGCCGUAAACGAUGUCGAUUUGGAGGUUGUGCCCUUGAGGCGUGGCUUCCGGAGCUAACGCGUUAAAUCGACCGCCUGGGGAGUACGGCCGCAGGUUAAAACUCAAUGAAUUGACGGGGGCCCGCACAAGCGGUUGAGCAUGUGGGUUUAAUUCGAUGCAACGC